GCCGUCGUAAGCACACCUCUAAAAGUACGAGUAUGCAACUAUGUCAAACUCAUAUACGUCAGGUCAAAGUGCAGCUAAUGAAAGGGGCGACGAUGGGUUACACCCUAAAUAAAGAUACGAAAUAUGGCACCAAAAGCCACAUGAAGGUGGACUUGGACGUAACAAAAAUACAAAAUUAAAAUGAAAACGAAUCUGAGACAUGCACACAUCGCCCGUCACUCUUGCCCAAAGGUGAGAUAAGUCGUAACAAAGUAGGUGUAACGGAAGUUGCACCUGU
rnacentral:rRNA from 1 species